rnacentral:rRNA from 1 species
UACGUAGGCAGCGAGCGUUGUUCGGAGUUACUGGGCGUAAAGAGCGUGUAGGCGGUUUGGUAGGUCCGUUGUGAAAACUCGAGGCUCAACCUCGAGACGCCGGCGGAAACCAUCAGGCUAGAGUCCGGAAGAGGAGAGUGGAAUUCCUGGUGUAGCGGUGAAAUGCGCAGAUAUCAGGAAGAACACCCGUGGCUAAGGCGGCUCUCUAGUACGGUACUGACGCUGAGACGCGAAAGCGUGGGGGAGCGAACAGG